ACUCCUUCCCUGCCUUUCCUACCUAUCACUCUCGUGCUGAAAGUUGGAGCUCCUUACCCAAAGACUGGGCGGAAAGGGUGACCGCCCUGGACCCCUGCCCGACUUCCCGUUAGGCCAAGCCGCUGUCCUGAAAGGGGAUCGUGUCCAGGCCGGCUUCCUGGAGACACACCUGCGCCUGCACACACCCACCGCGGUCGCGUCACCAGUGCCGCGGCCACGUGGACGAAGACCAAAGUCUGGAGGGAAUUCCCUCAGCCACAAAGCGAUGGGAAAGCGGGACCCGGUGGAGACCAGAGUCUUGCUAUGCUUUCCAGGCUGGUUUUGAACUCCUAGCCUCAAGCGAUUUUCCUGCCUCAGCUUCCCAAAGUGCUGGGAUUACAGGCACAAGCCACUGCACCCGGCCCUGUUGUUGUUAAGAAAAUUACAAGUUAAAUCUUGUACCAGUGAACAAGAUUAGGGAUCGUGAUGUGGAGCUGCACUUCCUGGUUCCAAAUCCUGGCUCUUCCCCUCAUCCCUGGGUAAGUUGAGGGAUGAGAGCAAGAGAAGGUUGAUCCUGACUCAGAUCUCUGCAUGGGGCAUGUCACUGAUGACGGCGGCAUUCCCUGAGAGAGGGAACACUAAGUUUGAAGUUGGGCAUAGUGAGCACUAUUUUGGAUGAGUUAAGUUUAGAAGUGCCUGAAGACAUCCAAGUGGAAGAAGUGGCUGCAUGGACUGAAGAUACAGACUGGGAAACGUUAACACCAUCAAGGAACUGGAGUCCUGGGCACAGAAUAUGCUGCAAAGGGAGAAGAAGGAAGACGUGUGGUAUGGAAUCACCUAUGGAUAAGGUUGAGAACCAUGGGCUAGAUGCUAUGGAGACCAACGUAUCACUUACUAGGCUUUACUUUGUGCCAGGCACUGGAUUCGGCAUUACCCCAUUUAAGCCUCACUACCAUCCUUCAUGUUACUAUUCCACGUUGCCGCUCAGGAGAAACAAAAUUUUUUUAUUAAAUUCAAGUAACCUGAGGUCCCAUAUUUAGUAAGAGGCAGAGGAGUUAGAUGUGUCAAUAGCUAAAUUACAUGGCUGUGUCCUCUAGCUGGCCAGGGACUGACAACAUCAGUAUCACCUGGUGACUCUCCCAGGGGAGAUGUUUUUAAAAAUCUUUUCCAGUAAUUCUGUGCAACAUGGCAAUCUGAAACCAGUCUUUCAGACCUGGAAGUUCUUUAGAGACCACAGGACUCUCUUUGAUAUUUUUUCUUUUGAAUUUUUUUAAAAUACAGAAUCCUUUUUCAUGUUCUCUGUUUAUAAAACAACUGCAUGUCAAUUACAUUAUUUUUUAGAAGAUAGGUACAAGAGCCAGGCGUGGUGGCUCAUGGCUGUAAUCACAACACUUUGGGAGGUCGAGGCAGGUGGAUCAUUUGAGGCUGGAAGUUCGAGACCAGCCUGGCCAACAUGGCAAAACCUGUCUCUACUAAAAAUAUAAAAAAUUAGCCUGGAGUAGUGGUGCAUGUCCCAGCUACUCGGGAGGCUGAGGCAUGAAAAUCGCUUGAACCCGGGAGGUGCAGGUUGCAGUGAGCCAAGAUCGCACCACUGCACUCCAGCCUGGGCAACAGAGCAAGACUGUGUCUUGACAGCAACAAAAAAAGAAGAUAGGUAUAGGAAUUAAAAAGAAAGCAAAUAAUUACUGGUAGCCUGACCACUAAGAGAUAUAUACUGAUAUUUUUUUUGCGGGGGGUGCAUCUCCUUGCAGGCCUUUUUGUAUGUUUAUGUUCAAACACAUUUGUAACAACAAUGAAUAAAAAACGCAUAAUAUUCAAUGA
rnacentral:lncRNA from 1 species